CAAAAUUAACAUAAAUUAAAAGCAUUUCAGAAAAUUAAUUACAUAAUUAGAAACAUUUCAAAUAUUUAAAGCGAAAACGUCGAUACGUUCACAAUGGCUGCAGUUGUAAACGUUUAUUUUUGUGCAUUAAAAUUCCUUCAAAGCUUAUGAAGAAAUCGCUUUGACGGUUUCACGACAUUGAAUCUAGCGGACAAAUUUAUAUUUUUAGUGGUUUGCAUAUUAUGAUACAAAGAUGACACUUUCAAUGCGAAGCAAGUAUACAGUUGAUUUCGUGUUUUUAUUUUGAGCAACGUUGGCAAUCAUCGAACAGAUUUGCAAAUUUGAUCGGGAACUUUCGAGAAACAUGAGCACUUUUGAACAAACUUGAAAGUAUUUCGCGAAAAUGUUGAGAUAAAUCGUAUGUAACAUGCUCCAAUGAACCACAGUUAUGAGGAAGAGAUGAACACUUGUGCUAUGUGGCUACAUCUUUGAUAAUCUAAUACCAAAGAAUGAAUAAUUACUGUCAACAAAUUUAUAGUGUAUGAUAAACAUGCGAGAAGAAGGAUAACAGCUGGUAUAUGGCAAUUUUACAUAUGUACGAACUGAGGAGCUUUGAUGGACGACGUACUUUUCAGCAAGAAAUGACAAGAACGCAUCUCUCUGUCGGUACCAGUACCAAAUUCAAGUCUUCCAUAAAAUCGUCUGUUGGCAAAAGUUGCAAAUUUGGUUGUAGCAAAUUAGAAAAACCUGUCAAGGAGAUAUUUCUGAAAAACGACAGUUAUUACUGUCAUGUCCUUGUUAAGAAUAUUUAGGUAACGAAUGAAAACAUCCAUUGAUUGAUUUGGAUAUAUUUAUUAUAGUUAACAACAACAGCGUGUGCGCAAAUAAGCAGUACGAACAGAACAGAGUAAAAGCAAUAUCACAUGA